rnacentral:tRNA from 6 species
GCGUCCUUGCACAGAAUUGGUAAUGUAGCGAGCUUUUAACUCGUCACCCUUUAGGGUAUUGUAGGUUCAAGUCCUACAGGGCGCA